rnacentral:tRNA from 1 species
GCCGGAAUAGUUCAGUUGGUAGAGCGUUAGACUGAAGUUGUUUACGCAACAGUCAUCUAAAGGCCCCCGGUUCAAUCCCGGGUACCGGCA